rnacentral:rRNA from 1 species
GAUGAACGCUGACAGAAUGCUUAACACAUGCAAGUCUACUUGAAUUUGGGUUUUUAACUUAGAUUUGGGUGGCGGACGGGUGAGUAACGCGUAAAGAACUUGCCUCACAGCUAGGGACAACAUUUAGAAAUGAAUGCUAAUACCUAAUAUUAUGAUAAUAGGGCAUCCUAUAAUUAUGAAAGCUAUAUGCGCUGUGAGAGAGCUUUGCGUCCCAUUAGCUAGUUGGAGAGGUAACGGCUCACCAAGGCGAUGAUGGGUAGCCGGCCUGAGAGGGUGAUCGGCCACAAGGGGACUGAGACACGGCCCUUACUCCUACGGGAGGCAGCAGUGGGGAAUAUUGGACAAUGGGCCGAGAGUCUGAUCCAGCAAUUCUGUGUGCACGAUGAAGUUUUUCGGAAUGUAAAGUGCUUUCAGUUGGGAAGAAAGAAAUGACGGUACCAACAGAAGAAGUGACGGCUAAAUACGUGCCAGCAGCCGCGGUAAUACGUAUGUCACGAGCGUUAUCCGGAUUUAUUGGGCGUAAAGCGCGCCUAGGUGGUUAUAUAAGUCUGAUGUGAAAAUGCAGGGCUCAACUCUGUAUUGCGUUGGAAACUGUAUAACUAGAGUACUGGAGAGGUAAGCGGAACUACAAGUGUAGAGGUGAAAUUCGUAGAUAUUUGUAGGAAUGCCGAUGGGGAAGCCAGCUUACUGGACAGAUACUGACGCUGAAGCGCGAAAGCGUGGGUAGCAAACAGG